rnacentral:rRNA from 1 species
AGCGGCGGACGGGUGAGUAAUACGUGGGUAACCUGCCUGUAAGACUGGGAUAACUCCGGGAAACCGGAGCUAAUACCGGAUAGUUCCUUGAACCGCAUGGUUCAAGGAUGAAAGACGGUUUCGGCUGUCACUUACAGAUGGACCCGCGGCGCAUUAGCUAGUUGGUGGGGUAAUGGCUCACCAAGGCGACGAUGCGUAGCCGACCUGAGAGGGUGAUCGGCCACACUGGGACUGAGACACGGCCCAGACUCCUACGGGAGGCAGCAGUAGGGAAUCUUCCGCAAUGGACGAAAGUCUGACGGAGCAACGCCGCGUGAGUGAUGAAGGUUUUCGGAUCGUAAAGCUCUGUUGUUAGGGAAGAACAAGUGCGAGAGUAACUGCUCGCACCUUGACGGUACCUAACCAGAAAGCCACGGCUAACUACGUGCCAGCAGCCGCGGUAAUACGUAGGUGGCAAGCGUUGUCCGGAAUUAUUGGGCGUAAAGGGCUCGCAGGCGGUUUCUUAAGUCUGAUGUGAAAGCCCCCGGCUCAACCGGGGAGGGUCAUUGGAAACUGGGAAACUUGAGUGCAGAAGAGGAGAGUGGAAUUCCACGUGUAGCGGUGAAAUGCGUAGAGAUGUGGAGGAACACCAGUGGCGAAGGCGACUCUCUGGUCUGUAACUGACGCUGAGGAGCGAAAGCGUGGGGAGCGAACAGGAUUAGAUACCCUGGUAGUCCACGCCGUAAACGAUGAGUGCUAAGUGUUAGGGGGUUUCCGCCCCUUAGUGCUGCAGCUAACGCAUUAAGCACUCCGCCUGGGGAGUACGGUCGCAAGACUGAAACUCAAAGGAAUUGACGGGGGCCCGCACAAGCGGUGGAGCAUGUGGUUUAAUUCGAAGCAACGCGAAGAACCUUACCAGGUCUUGACAUCCUCUGACAACCCUAGAGAUAGGGCUUUCCCUUCGGGGACAGAGUGACAGGUGGUGCAUGGUUGUCGUCAGCUCGUGUCGUGAGAUGUUGGGUUAAGUCCCGCAACGAGCGCAACCCUUGAUCUUAGUUGCCAGCAUUCAGUUGGGCACUCUAAGGUGACUGCCGGUGACAAACCGGAGGAAGGUGGGGAUGACGUCAAAUCAUCAUGCCCCUUAUGACCUGGGCUACACACGUGCUACAAUGGACAGAACAAAGGGCUGCAAGACCGCAAGGUUUAGCCAAUCCCAUAAAUCUGUUCUCAGUUCGGAUCGCAGUCUGCAACUCGACUGCGUGAAG